GCCUGAUGCAGCAACGCCGCGUGAGGGACGACGGCCUUCGGGUUGUAAACCUCUUUUAGUAGGGAAGAAGCGAAAGUGACGGUACCUGCAGAAAAAGCACCGGCUAACUACGUGCCAGCAGCCGCGGUAAUACGUAGGGUGCAAGCGUUGUCCGGAAUUAUUGGGCGUAAAGAGCUCGUAGGCGGUUUGUCGCGUCUGCUGUGAAAACUGGAGGCUCAACCUCCAGCCUGCAGUGGGUACGGGCAAACUAGAGUGCGGUAGGGGAGAUUGGAAUUCCUGGUGUAGCGGUGGAAUGCGCAGAUAUCAGGAGGAACACCGAUGGCGAAGGCAGAUCUCUGGGCCGUAACUGACGCUGAGGAGCGAAAGCGUGGGGAGCGAACAGGAUUAGAUACCCUGGUAGUCCACGCCGUAAACGUUGGGAACUAGAUGUGGGGGCCAUUCCACGGCUUCCGUGUCGCAGCUAACGCAUUAAGUUCCCCGCCUGGGGAGUACGGCCGCAAGGCUAAAACUCAAAGGAAUUGACGGGGGCCCGCACAAGCGGCGGAGCAUGCGGAUUAAUUCGAUGCAACGCGAAGAACCUUACCAAGGCUUGACAUAUACGAGAACGCUGCAGAAAUGUAGAACUCUUUGGACACU
rnacentral:rRNA from 1 species